AUUGAACGCUGGCGGCAGGCCUAACACAUGCAAGUCGAGCGGAUGACGGGAGCUUGCUCCUUGAUUCAGCGGCGGACGGGUGAGUAAUGCCUAGGAAUCUGCCUGGUAGUGGGGGACAACGUUUCGAAAGGAACGCUAAUACCGCAUACGUCCUACGGGAGAAAGCAGGGGACCUUCGGGCCUUGCGCUAUCAGAUGAGCCUAGGUCGGAUUAGCUUGUUGGUGAGGUAAUGGCUCACCAAGGCGACGAUCCGUGACUGGCCUGAGAGGAUGAUCAGUCACACUGGAACUGAGACACGGUCCAGACUCCUACGGGAGGCAGCAGUGGGGAAUAUUGGACAAUGGGCGAAAGCCUGAUCCAGCCAUGCCGCGUGUGUGAAGAAGGUCUUCGGAUUGUAAAGCACUUUAAGUUGGGAGGAAGGGUUGUAGAUUAAUACCUUGCAGUUUUGACGUUACCGACAGAAUAAGCACCGGCUAACUUCGUGCCAGCCGCCGCCGUAA
rnacentral:rRNA from 1 species